GGUUCAGGACGAACGCUGGCGGCGUGCUUAACACAUGCAAGUCGAACGGAGUUAAGCGCUGGUCUGAUGCUAGCUUGCUAGUGGAUUCCUUGCUUAACUAGUGGCGGACGGGUGAGUAACGCGUGAGUAACCUGCCCUUCAGUGGGGAAUAACGCCCUGAAAAGAGCGCUAAUACCGCAUGACACAUAUUUGCCGCAUGACAGAUAUGUCAAAGAUUUAUCGCUGAAGGAUGGACUCGCGUCCGAUUAGCUUGUUGGUGAGGUAACGGCUCACCAAGGCGACGAUCGGUAGCCGGACUGAGAGGUUGAACGGCCACAUUGGGACUGAGACACGGCCCAGACUCCUACGGGAGGCAGCAGUGGGGGAUAUUGCGCAAUGGGGGGAAAAACCCCUGACGCAGCAACGCCGCGUGGAGGAUGACGGUUUUCGGAUUGUAAACUCCUUUUAUAAGGGACGAACUAAGACGGUACCUUAUGAAUAAGCUCCGGCUAACUACGUGCCAGCAGCGGC
rnacentral:rRNA from 1 species